GCCGGCCACAGUGGCGUAUGCCUGUAAUCCCAGGGACAUGGGAGGCUGAAGCAGGAGGAUCACAGGUUCAAAGCCAGCCUAGGCAGAGGAGAGGCCCUAAGGAACUCAGUGAGACCCUGUCUCUC
rnacentral:sRNA from 1 species